GAUGAAGAACGUAGCGAAAUGCGAUAAGUAAUGUGAAUUGCAGAUUUCAGUGAAUCAUCGAAUCUUUGAACGCACCUUGCGCCCUGUGGUAUUCCGCAGGGCAUGCCCGUUUGAGUGUCAUUAAAUCAUCAACUCUAAACACCUUGUGUGUCUAGUGCUUGGUCUUGAGGGUCUUGCAGGCGUCUAGACGUCUGCUCCCUUUAAAUCUAUUAGCGAGACUUCCCUUUGCUGACCGUCUCUUGGCGUGAUAAUUAUCUACGUCGAUAUGAGCGGUUCUCGUUGGGCUUGCUUCUAAUCGUCUUCGGACAGCCGAUUUGGGUGCAUAUAUGCGCUUCAUUUCAAACCUUUUUGACCUCAAAUCGGGUAGGACUACCCGCUGAACUUAAGCAUAUCAAUAAGCGGAGGA
rnacentral:misc_RNA from 1 species